rnacentral:lncRNA from 1 species
CGUUAUGAGAGGCGGCAGGAACAAAGAACAAGAACCGCUGGCUGGCUCGUGUAAAUACCGGCAACUUCCGAGGCUCUUGUGCUCGGUCUACUGCGACAUCGACAUCGCGGGCCAGGGAGGAAGGGGGCCUGGCAGCCUCGCGGGGUCGGGCCCUGGGCUUCUCCCAGCACAGCGCCGGAACCCUGGCUCCUGCGGUCACGCGACGCCAAGAAUAUCAGGGAGGACAGGGACCAUGAGUCAGGAAAACCAAGCCAGAAACAUGAAAGGAAGUGUGUGGCCCAGCACGGGACUCAGAAUGACCCAGAAAACCCGCCAAGCUCUGAGCCCCAUGACGGACGCUCCCUCCCUGCCUCCCUCACCCGCGACCUGUCGCCCAGGGCCUCGGAGGCCCGGCUCACCCUCCAGCCCCGCCCUGCCCAGCCCAGCUCUCCAGGAGGAGAAUUAGACCUGGCCUGCCUCGGGCUCCGCGC